UUAAGCGACUAAGCGUACACGGUGGAUGCCCUGGCAGUCAGAGGCGAUGAAGGACGUGCUAAUCUGCGAUAAGCGUCGGUAAGGUGAUAUGAACCGUUAUAACCGGCGAUUUCCGAAUGGGGAAACCCAGUGUGAUUCGUCACACUAUCAUUAACUGAAUCCAUAGGUUAAUGAGGCGAACCGGGGGAACUGAAACAUCUAAGUACCCCGAGGAAAAGAAAUCAACCGAGAUUCCCCCAGUAGCGGCGAGCGAACGGGGAGCAGCCCAGAGCCUGAAUCAGUGUGUGUGUUAGUGGAAGCGUCUGGAAAGGCGCGCGAUACAGGGUGACAGCCCCGUACACAAAAAUGCACAUGCUGUGAGCUCGAUGAGUAGGGCGGGACACGUGGUAUCCUGUCUGAAUAUGGGGGGACCAUCCUCCAAGGCUAAAUACUCCUGACUGACCGAUAGUGAACCAGUACCGUGAGGGAAAGGCGAAAAGAACCCCGGCGAGGGGAGUGAAAAAGAACCUGAAACCGUGUACGUACAAGCAGUGGGAGCACAGAGCAAUCUGUGUGACUGCGUACCUUUUGUAUAAUGGGUCAGCGACUUAUAUUCUGUAGCAAGGUUAACCGAAUAGGGGAGCCGAAGGGAAACCGAGUCUUAACUGGGCGUUAAGUUGCAGGGUAUAGACCCGAAACCCGGUGAUCUAGCCAUGGGCAGGUUGAAGGUUGGGUAACACUAACUGGAGGACCGAACCGACUAAUGUUGAAAAAUUAGCGGAUGACUUGUGGCUGGGGGUGAAAGGCCAAUCAAACCGGGAGAUAGCUGGUUCUCCCCGAAAGCUAUUUAGGUAGCGCCUCGUGAAUUCAUCUCCGGGGGUAGAGCACUGUUUCGGCAAGGGGGUCAUCCCGACUUACCAACCCGAUGCAAACUGCGAAUACCGGAGAAUGUUAUCACGGGAGACACACGGCGGGUGCUAACGUCCGUCGUGAAGAGGGAAACAACCCAGACCGCCAGCUAAGGUCCCAAAGUCAUGGUUAAGUGGGAAACGAUGUGGGAAGGCCCAGACAGCCAGGAUGUUGGCUUAGAAGCAGCCAUCAUUUAAAGAAAGCGUAAUAGCUCACUGGUCGAGUCGGCCUGCGCGGAAGAUGUAACGGGGCUAAACCAUGCACCGAAGCUGCGGCAGCGACGCUUAUGCGUUGUUGGGUAGGGGAGCGUUCUGUAAGCCUGCGAAGGUGUGCUGUGAGGCAUGCUGGAGGUAUCAGAAGUGCGAAUGCUGACAUAAGUAACGAUAAAGCGGGUGAAAAGCCCGCUCGCCGGAAGACCAAGGGUUCCUGUCCAACGUUAAUCGGGGCAGGGUGAGUCGACCCCUAAGGCGAGGCCGAAAGGCGUAGUCGAUGGGAAACAGGUUAAUAUUCCUGUACUUGGUGUUACUGCGAAGGGGGGACGGAGAAGGCUAUGUUGGCCGGGCGACGGUUGUCCCGGUUUAAGCGUGUAGGCUGGUUUUCCAGGCAAAUCCGGAAAAUCAAGGCUGAGGCGUGAUGACGAGGCACUACGGUGCUGAAGCAACAAAUGCCCUGCUUCCAGGAAAAGCCUCUAAGCAUCAGGUAACAUCAAAUCGUACCCCAAACCGACACAGGUGGUCAGGUAGAGAAUACCAAGGCGCUUGAGAGAACUCGGGUGAAGGAACUAGGCAAAAUGGUGCCGUAACUUCGGGAGAAGGCACGCUGAUAUGUAGGUGAAGUCCCUCGCGGAUGGAGCUGAAAUCAGUCGAAGAUACCAGCUGGCUGCAACUGUUUAUUAAAAACACAGCACUGUGCAAACACGAAAGUGGACGUAUACGGUGUGACGCCUGCCCGGUGCCGGAAGGUUAAUUGAUGGGGUUAGCGCAAGCGAAGCUCUUGAUCGAAGCCCCGGUAAACGGCGGCCGUAACUAUAACGGUCCUAAGGUAGCGAAAUUCCUUGUCGGGUAAGUUCCGACCUGCACGAAUGGCGUAAUGAUGGCCAGGCUGUCUCCACCCGAGACUCAGUGAAAUUGAACUCGCUGUGAAGAUGCAGUGUACCCGCGGCAAGACGGAAAGACCCCGUGAACCUUUACUAUAGCUUGACACUGAACAUUGAGCCUUGAUGUGUAGGAUAGGUGGGAGGCUUUGAAGUGUGGACGCCAGUCUGCAUGGAGCCGACCUUGAAAUACCACCCUUUAAUGUUUGAUGUUCUAACGUUGACCCGUAAUCCGGGUUGCGGACAGUGUCUGGUGGGUAGUUUGACUGGGGCGGUCUCCUCCUAAAGAGUAACGGAGGAGCACGAAGGUUGGCUAAUCCUGGUCGGACAUCAGGAGGUUAGUGCAAUGGCAUAAGCCAGCUUGACUGCGAGCGUGACGGCGCGAGCAGGUGCGAAAGCAGGUCAUAGUGAUCCGGUGGUUCUGAAUGGAAGGGCCAUCGCUCAACGGAUAAAAGGUACUCCGGGGAUAACAGGCUGAUACCGCCCAAGAGUUCAUAUCGACGGCGGUGUUUGGCAC
rnacentral:rRNA from 1 species